UACAGAGGGUGCAAGCGUUGUUCGGAAUUAUUGGGCGUAAAGGGCGCGUAGGCGGUGCGGUAAGUCUGUAGUGAAAUCUCUGGGCUCAACUCAGAGUCUGCUGCAGAAACUGCCGUGCUUGAGUGUGGGAGAGGUGAGUGGAAUUCCCGGUGUAGCAGUGAAAUGCGUAGAGAUCGGGAGGAACAUCUGUGGCGAAGGCGGCCACCUGGACCAACACUGACACUGAGGCACGAAAGCGUGGGGAGCAAACAGG
rnacentral:rRNA from 1 species